UUAACACUUGUAACUAAACAAAUUAUUCAGUCAUGAACGAUAACAUUUGAUGUUUUUUUUCCUCAAAAACCGGAAGUAAACGAUCAACUCUAAACAGUCACAAUCAAUGGAACGCUCGCGCACAUUUUUUCGAUGACGCGAAUACUUCGUCUGCGGACAUGUUGAUCCAUGAGAAAGUCACGAUUAUUUUUCUAAUCCAUUGUCAAAGAAAAGUGUGCACAGACAGGUGAUUGGAGGCGGGCUACAGUGCAAAAGGAACCUCUCACCCAAACGUCACGUCAUUGGCGUCCACAGCCUGUUCGUAUUCUACAGUCCGAGGCGUGCGGGGACAGGCGAUUGGAGACAGGACCUCUUGCCCAGUCAUCACGUUCCUGUCGUCCACGUCGCUGCUGUUGAUUUCUGGUAGAAGUAGACUUCCUGAUCUUGUAUUCCACGGUCCCAGGAUAUGGGUCCAAAAAAGAGACCUUCACUUGUGAGCAGCCCUGCCCAAUCAGAGGCAAAGAAAAUUUCAAAGAAAUAUCUCGGAAACCGAAUGAGUCCUGGGAAAAAACAGCGAGUGAGAAGGUCAAACAAAAGAAAAACCUUGUAAACUAGGCCGAGUUCCUUUAUGGUUGCGGUCUGUUGAAAAACAUGGCUUUAAAUGGCUUUAUAGUGUAACCUUGUUUACACUCUACUAAGAAAUUACCAAUGUACAAGUUGAAUGAAAUUUAUGCAUAUUAUGAUAUUCAUGUUCUCCAUGCAGUUAUCUGAAUAUGUAUUCUGCCGAUAAGAUAUACAGUUAAAUUGCCAAAAUAAAUUUUAUUUAGUU